CAUUUUGUCCUUUGAGUUGCUAGAAAGAGAGAGAAAGAGAGAGAGGUGAAGCGGGCUCAGUGGAUACCACGAUUGCAAGCUUCUUUGGUGCUUCUGUCGUCGUCUUCAUUUUGUGCUUUGAGUUGCUAGAAGGAGAGAGAAAGAGAGAGAGGUGAAGCGGGCUCAGUGGAUACCACGAUUGCAAGCUUCUUUGGUGCUUCUGUCGUCGUCUUCAUUUUGUGCUUUGAGUUGCUAGAAGGAGAGAGAAAGAGAGAGAGGUGAAGCGGGCUCAGUGGAUACCACGAUUGCAAGGUCAAUUCAG